ACACCUGUGCUAGCUAAAGAAAAUAUUUCUGUAAGCUGUGUUUAGUUGGUUUGCUGCUCCUUCAGUGUCCUCACCUACCUUAAAUGACUUUUCCCAAAAUAUUCACCCCAGUAACAGGAAGCUGAGAUAGUAGUGUAUAAUGAAGUAAUGAGAGAAGUAAUGUAGAAGUAAUGAGAGAGUUGGAUAGAUCACCAGUGAUGUCACGGCUUGUAGAUAGAAAAACUGGUGAAUUCAUACUGAAAUCACAAGAGUAAAAUUUCAGCUCAAAUCUGAAAACCAACUGUCUAUUUUAUAAUUUCCCUGACAGCCUGCAUCCUUAUUCUGCACUUACUUUGCCACGUGUCAUUGGGUUUUCUACUCUAGGACAACGUUCGAGGCUCUAACCCAGUGCCAGCUGAUGGAGAGGCUUAAAUUAUAAAAGCAGAGCGACACGUGCAAAUUGAAAUCAUCUUGACUCCUACGUAAAUUUGUGGAUAUCAUUGAAUGCCUGGGAGGAGGGGCCCAUCUGCUUCACCCAUCAAGAGCCUCUAAGAGAGAGAGAAAAACCACGAGCCGGGGGUGGAUCAGAGGGAAA